rnacentral:rRNA from 1 species
UACGUAGGGUGCGAGCGUUGUCCGGAAUUAUUGGGCGUAAAGAGCUCGUAGGCGGUCUGUCGCGUCGGUCGUGAAAACUUGGGGCUUAACCCUGAGCUUGCGGUCGAUACGGGCAUGACUGGAGUUCGGUAGGGGAGACUGGAAUUCCUGGUGUAGCGGUGGAAUGCGCAGAUAUCAGGAGGAACACCGGUGGCGAAGGCGGGAUCCUGGGCCAGUACUGACGCUGAGGAGCGAAAGCGUGGGGAGCAAACAGG